AACCCAUGCCGAGGACAUUUUUGCAAGAGAUCCUUAAACCUAUCCCAUGUCUUAAAAAGAGAAUCCAAUUUCAUUUGCAUAAAAGAGGAUAUUUCAUUCCUAAGCUC